GAGCAGGGGGCAGGGGGUUGGGGGAGAGGAGAACCCAGAGGAGGGGAGAGGGAGCCAGGGAGGGGAAGGCAGCCAGAUGACAGCCGAGGAGGAAGGGUGCCCUCCCCCCAAAUACAGAAGCAAGUAUCUAUGACCCCAGCUGGCCAACGACCAUCCCAAGGACUCAGAAAUUCAGGUGAGUUCAGAACCCGCUUUCCCUCCCGGGUCUGGGACUCGGGGUGGUCCAAUUUCCUCUCUAUGUGUACCUCAGAAAAAUCAUCAGAAUGAGGGCCCAGGAAACAGAAGUGGACUUGAGGCGGCCUGACAGCAGUGAGUUGAUGGAAGAGGAUACCCCCCAGAGGCUGCUCCCCUUCCAGGCCCCAGCCCUCGCCUGGACCCCAGCUCUCCCCCACCCCACGGUCAGGAAGCCCGCCUCGCCCUGUUUGCCCCACCCUGGGACAGACCCUGCAGGCAAACAGGGGCUUCUGGGGACCCUCCCCGCAGAGUCCCCACCCAAAGGCCUCUCCCUCCCCGAGGCGGGGGAGGGCGGGUCCCGAGAUCUCAGGCCUUGAUCCCUUUGCCAUAGGCACGACUUCCUGGCCACCCCCUCUGCCUUCGACUGCCACCCCCUCAUCCCCUCAACAUUCCACAGCCCCCCCCCGCCAGCAGAAGGCACUGCUGCCCCACCAUCCCUGCGGUGGAAACCUCCCUAUCAUGCCGUGGCCUUUGCUCACUGCCACACGCCACCGGGCAUCCUCUACCCCCACAGGGGUGCCUUUCCCAGAAGCAUCUGGGCUGUCAGACCGCACAGAGCCACGUGGGGACAGGACCGGGCGCCGGCUGCCUUGGUGGGGCCUCUGCUGCCCUCCCGUGGGCUGCAGGCAAGAGAGCCCCUGGCCCGUGGCAUCAAAGGUGUCGCCUCCUCUCCUUGCCUCCUGGGGGUAGCACCCAGGGGCCUCCUUUCCUCUGUGGAUAUAAGACGGUUCAGUGUAAGGACAGUGCUCAGAACAACGCCUGGUCCUUAGGGAGAGCUCGAUAUAUGUUAAUAUCACCCUCUAAAUUAAUCCUCAUAGCAUCCCUGUGAGGUCAGCAUUAUGCGCCUACUUAACUGGUGGGGAAACCGAGGCAGAGAGAGGCGAAGCCACUGCCCCGAGUUUAGCAGCACUAACCGGCUGAUCAGGGAUUUGAACCCAAGUCUAUUGGAAGCUGUGCUUUCCAGGCUUUCCAGUCUGCGCUGGUUUGGCAGCCGGCUUUGGNCACACACACACACAUUCAUACACACCCUGUACCCCCACCCCGCGGGAGGGGAUGAGAGGCUGCACCCCACCAAGAGGAGGAGGCGGAGCCUUUCUGAGGCACCAGCCUCCUGUUCGGGCUCCAGAGCAGCACGCGCGCCACCUGGUGGCCAUGAUAGGUAAAUGCCACCUCGGUCCCAGUCUACCCCUCCCUGCCCGCAGCCUGGCGCUUCCUGUGGCCCCUGGGGCUAAGGUGUGUGCUGAGGCUGCAGAGCUGAUUCUGCAGAGCUGUUGCGUCCCAGGUUAGGCCCCCAAACCAGGGCAGACUGGAAAGCCCCAGGCCUGGUGGCUGAGAGCACAGCUUCCAAUAGACUUGGGUUCAAAUCCCUGACCAGUGGGCUAAACUCAGGACACGGAAGUCGGUUUCCUUUCCACUGAGCUUCCUCCAGGGAUGGAGAAAUGAGCCAUCCCCGUGUUGCUGUGCUUGGGCUGCUGGUGGUUUGGGACAGGUGUUGCAGCAGAAAGUUCAUUUUGCUGAAAAUACAUCGUAUAUUUCCCCCAAAUGCCUAUUCUAGUUAAUAUUCUUUUUCUUUUUUGGCUGCACCUGAGACAUGCAGAAGUUCCCAAGCCAGAGAUCAAACCUGCACCACAGGAGUGACCUGAGCCACUGCAGUGACAAGGCUGGAUCCUUAACCUGCUGCAUCAAAAGAGAACUCCCCUAUUCUUUUCCUGAUUCCUUUAUGUAAGUGACAGGUUAUUCCAGAGGCGCUUUCCCCACUUAGCCUGGUGCUGGCGGCUCAACCCAGCUCUUCCUCCUCCUCCAAGCUCGCUCUGCUCCUGGGUCUGGGGGCGCCCGGCUGCAUCUCCCUCCCAGGCUUUCCUCCCAAGCUGCCGCACUGGCUCUUCAGCAGCCUGGAGGCCUACCCCACCAGGGCACGUGGCGGUCCCCUCCAAGGGACCUGCCUCCAAUGUGACUUCCUACCUACCUGCUCCCAUGGUUGUAAGCAAUCCUCAUCCAGUUAACUCACUCAGGUUUAACUACAAUUUCCACAGCACAGGUGAAAGUUGGGGGUGCAGGGAGGGGUCUGAGGAUUUGGACAACCUGGAGCCGGAAGCCAGACCCCGGCUGACUUGGUCCAGAAGCUGCAGGGGCCCAUGGGGCUGGAUGGCUCAGGAGGACGGUUGGGGGCAGGAUGGGACCUAACAUGCAACGGGAAAUGAAGAUUUCCAGAUGACUUUUCACGUGGGCAGUAAACCAAGCAUCGGGCCCCUUGGAGCACCUGGGUCAGGUCGGACAGGAGGUGAAGGAAGCCAGGCGGGACUGUGGCUCUGGGCCUCUUCAGCCAGGUCCAGGGUAGGUUGUAGGAGAUGUGCCUGCUGCCUUCCCACAAGGUGACCCCCUCCCCAGCCUCCCAGGGGCCCCUUGUUGAGAGUAGAAAGGCCCCUUGGGUCCUGAGAGCCAGAAAGCAGGGGCGACAGAGAGGGGGCACUGCUGCUUUCUCUCCUUUGACCAGAUCCCUCCUCCCUGUCAAUCCUCGUCUCUGACCUCAAAAUCCCCAGAUAGGAGCUCCCGUCAUGGCUCAGCGGAAAUCCAUGAGGACACAGGUUCGAUUCCUGGCCUCCCUCAGUGGGUUAAGGAUCUGGCGUGGCCAUGAGCUGUGGUGUAGAUUGCAGAUGCGGUUCGAAUCUGGUGUUGCUGUGACUGUGGUGUAGGCUGAUAGCUGUAGCUCUGAUUCAACCCCUAGCCUGGGAACCUCUAUAUGCCAAGGGGGUGGCCCUAAAAAGCAGAAAAAUAAAAUAAAAUAAAAUUAAAUUAAAAAAUAAAAUAAAAUAAAAUAGGGAGUUCCCGCCAUGGCUCAGUGGAAACAAAUCUGACUAGCAUCCAUGAGGAUGCAGGUUCGAUCCCUUGCCUUGCUCAGCGGGUUAAGGAUUCGGCACUGCCCUGUGCUGUGGUGUAGCUCACAGACCCAACUCUGAUCCUGCAUUAUUUUGGCUGUGGUGAAGGCCAGCAGCUGCAGCUCCGACACAACCCCUAGCCUGAGAAUCUCCAUAUGCUGCGGGUGUGUCCCUGAAAAGACAAAAAAUAAAAUAAACGAAGCUCCCAGACAACCCAGAGGGAUUCUCAUAUCAGGACCAGUAGCUUCCCCACCCCCCCACGUCUCCCCACACUAGGUCCCUGGGCCAGGAGCAUUUAAAAUGUGCGGCAGGAGUUCCCUGGGGGCUCAGUGUGUUAAGGAUCCAGCGUUGUCACUGCUGUGGCUCUGGUUGCCUCUGUGGCACAGGUUCACUCACUGGCCUGAGAACUUCCACAUGCCACAGAUAUGGGCAAAAAAGAAA
rnacentral:lncRNA from 1 species